CCUAAGGGUGGCAGCAGUGGGGAAUAUUGGACAAUGGGCGAAAGCCUGAUCCAGCCAUGCCGCGUGUGUGAAGAAGGCCUUCGGGUUGUAAAGCACUUUCAGUGGGGAAGAAAGCCUUGGGGCUAAUACCCUCGAGGAAGGACAUCACCCACAGAAGAAGCACCGGCUAACUCCGUGCCAGCAGCCGCGGUAAUACGGAGGGUGCGAGCGUUAAUCGGAAUUACUGGGCGUAAAGCGCGCGUAGGCGGUCUGAUAAGCCGGUUGUGAAAGCCCCGGGCUCAACCUGGGAACGGCAUCCGGAACUGUCAGGCUAGAGUGCAGGAGAGGAAGGUAGAAUUCCCGGUGUAGCGGUGAAAUGCGUAGAGAUCGGGAGGAAUACCAGUGGCGAAGGCGGCCUUCUGGACUGACACUGACGCUGAGGUGCGAAAGCGUGGGUAGCAAACAGGAUUAGAUACCCCGUAGUC
rnacentral:rRNA from 1 species